rnacentral:lncRNA from 1 species
AUGACCUCCCUGGAGAUCCUCCUGCCUCCGCCUCCCGUGCCCCACCGCACCAGCCCCGCCGGACACUUUUAUGUGUCCAGGGAAGGAGGGGAGGCAGGAGGCAGAGGCAGCGGGGUCUCCUGCGCUCUCUCCUUCCCAGUGAAGCCCAGGGCCCCGCGAGACCUGCGGUUCCUGUGGGGACAGGACGCUGUCACCGUGACGUGCCCCGGCCUGCCCUACAGUGGGCUGCUCUACGAGGUGCAGCACAGGACGCCUUACGACGGCGGGUGGCAGUCCAGGGUGGCGGAGCUGUGCAACGUGACCAUCGAGGGCCUGGACCUGGGGCACUGCCACUCCUUCCGGGCCAGGGUGCUGACCCAGGCGUCCUCCUACGGCUCCGAAGCAUCCCCCAGCGACUGGUCUCCGGUCACCCACUGGCAGGGAGCUGCGCCCCGAGGUGACGGGGCCACGCGGCGACUCCGCCAUCACGGGACCUUCACGUGUGUGGGCAGCGGCACAGGGAGAGCAGAGUGGACAGAGGAGAUGGCGGUCAGGGAGACUCGAGGGGGACGCGGAGGGGAUGGAGGGAGACACAGGGGACCUCAGGGAGACAGGGACAGAAAAGGGGAUGGACAGGAAAGAUAGACCUUAGGUGGACCACGUAUGCAUAUGGACACGGGGCGUAGAGACAGGUGGACACAGAAACCGAGGUGACAGACAGGGAACAGGGAGGCAGACAGACAGGCAGACAGGAUGGGCGGGCGGGUGGGUGGGUGGAUGAUAGGAAGAUGGACAGAAUGGAUGACAGAUGGACAGAUGAAUAAUAGGCAGGUAAUAGAUGGGUGACAGACCCUAGAUGGAUAGGUGGAUGGGUGACAGAUGAUGGACAGGACUGCAGAGGACAGCUGGUGGUGGGUGCAGGUGUCCCAUCCCCCUCUGGGCCUUCACAGCCUAGCCCCAGGCUCCUCCCCACGUGCACCCGGCCCUGAGCCCUGUGCCCCCCACCCUGGUCCCCUGUACCCCGCCCCGGGGCACCGAGAGGAAGCGGCUCUUGACCCACUCCUGGGCCGCCCAAGCCCCACGUCCCCGAGUCCCCUGCCAGCUCCAGCACUGAGCCCACAGUGCUCCUCUUGCACCCCAGAUUCCUGCCUGCAGUGGCCCCCGCUGCCCAAAUGGCCCCGGUUCUUCCUGGUGUGCAGCCUGGUGUCGCUCCUGACCGUGGCCCUGCUGCUCCUGGCUGUGUGCAAGGCGCAGAGGUGAGGACCGUGCAGGAGGGCGGCCUGAACCUCUCAGAAGCAGGGGUGGCAGUAAGUUGUGUUUCACGUAACAAAGAGUCAAUCAGCAACCAUUCCCAUGUGCCGUCCCAUACGAUGACGGUGGGGCUACAAAGCUCUGUUUGCCUCCUGACUCUGUGCCUCUCAUAAUUCCACGAGGCCACCAUGUGCGUGAGGGGACCCUGGUGUAAACC